rnacentral:misc_RNA from 1 species
CAAUGGGAGAUUUGUGAGUGUGAGGCACAGAGCUGUAACCAACUCUUACAACUCUAGAAUGUCAAUGGCAUAUUUUGCUGCACCACCUCUCGACGCCGAGAUCGCUGCACUACCGCACAUGGUCUCUGCCGCGAGGCCUACCUUGUACAGGCCAUUCACUUGGGCUGACUACAAGAAAGCUGCUUAUUCUCUACGUCUUGGAGAUGCCCGUCUUGAUCUAUUCAGGAAACAAGGAGACGAGCUUGCUUAAUGGCUUGUGGGUAGUUUCGAGUCUUUGAGAAAUAUAAAAAUAUGGAGG